rnacentral:rRNA from 1 species
CCUACGGGUGGCAGCAGUAGGGAAUAUUGCUCAAUGGGGGAAACCCUGAAGCAGCAACGCCGCGUGGAGGAUGAAGGUUCUCGGAGUGUAAACUCCUUUUGUUAGAGAAGAUAAUGACGGUAUCUAACGAAUAAGCAACGGCUAACUCCGUGCCAGCAGCCGCGGUAAUACGGAGGCAGCAAGCGUUACUCGGAUUCACUGGGCGUAAAGAGCGCGUAGGCGGGUUAGCAAGUCAGAUGUGAAAUCCUAUGGCUUAACCAUAGAACUGCAUUUGAAACUGUUAUUCUAGAGUAUGGGAGAGGUAGGUGGAAUUCUUGGUGUAGGGGUGAAAUGCGUAGAGAUCAAGAGGAAUACUCAUUGCGAAGGCGACCUGCUAGAACAUAACUGACGCUGAUGCGCGAAAGCGUGGGGAGCAAACAGGAUUAGAUACCCUUGUAGUC